rnacentral:rRNA from 1 species
GAAGCGAAGCAGCGAUGUGAAGCAAAUCGCACCAAAGCCGGUCCCAGUUCGGAUAAGAGGCUGAAACUCGCCUCUUUGAAGUCGGAAUCGCUAGUAAUCGCAGAUCAGCAUGUUGCGGUGAAUACGUUUCCUGGUCUUGUACACACCGCCCGUCAAACCAUGAGAGUCGCCAACACCCGAAGUCCGCUUUGCGGCCUAAGGUGGGGGAGAUGAUUGGGGUUAAGUCGUAACAAGGUAGC